rnacentral:rRNA from 1 species
UACAGGGGGUGCAAACGUUGCUCGGAAUUAUUGGGCGUAAAGCGCGCGUAGGCGGCUACUUAAGUCGGAUGUGAAAGCCCUUGGCUCAACUGAGGAAGUGCACCCGAAACUGAGUAGCUGGAGUACGAAAGAGGGUCGCGGAAUUCCCGGUGUAGAGGUGAAAUGCGUAGAGAUGCGGAGGAAUACCAGUGGCGAAGGCGACUUCCUGGACCUUAACUGACGCUGAAGCGCGAAAGCAUGGGGAGCGAACGGG